rnacentral:tRNA from 1 species
GCCCAGGUAGCUCAGUCGGUAGAGCACUGCACUGAAAAUGCAGGUGUCGGUGGUUCGAUUCCGCCCCUGGGCACCA